rnacentral:misc_RNA from 1 species
UUUGCUAGCAGCGUUACGGUUUUGUGCUAAACGUCUCUGUACCUUAUCAGCCGGUAUGUUUGCUCCUUGAUCAAUUCUGGAAGGUUCCAUUGAUUCUUGAGAUGCAUAUUCAGUCUUGUUGUUCACCCCACUAUCCACCUGCACGAUUGUGGAUGAACUAAUAUUUAGUCUACCAUCACCUCUGAAGGUGUCCCCACACGAGCUGAACUGGUGGAAUGGCUCAUAAAUGCCCAUUCCUCUCAAGGCAGAAAGUUGAGUAGAUGAGGAGCUCAUACUCUCUUCUAACAUACUUCAAAGGAUGGCUUGCCAAAGUGGAGAAAAAAAAAAUCACAUGUUUUCACCUUCCUAAUUGGCCAAGGAUAGGCAAAAACAACUGUUUCACCAGAAGGGGAAAAAUAACACUAAACCAAGUUUGCUUCUUGAUUACCCACUAACAAAACCCAAAAUCUCUCAGGCAGUUCUAGUUCAAGGAACCCCAAUUUAACACAAGCUCAGUGUCUAAUACCAG